UAUUAACUACUACAUAAAAUGAAAAGGCUUCAUCUCUCCCUUGAAAAGGGAGAUUAACCUAGCAUAAUACUAAACUAAAAUCUAUUAAAUGAAAUGACAUAAAAUAAAAACUAACUAAACUAAAAGAAGAAGAAGAAAAGAACUUUUAUUUGAAUGAGUUUUUGCUCUCCACUCUUGAUGAUCAUUACAAUGAAUAGAGCUCCCUAUUUAUAGAUCCAUAGGGAGCCUAAAAGGGCAAAAUUACAAAAUAUUAUAUAAUAUUUGAUUUGAUUGCUAAUCAAAUCAAAUCAUUUGUGGAAGAAAAUGUCAAGAAUAAAAUCUUUGAAUGAUUGUGGUCAAAGAUUAAUGAAAAACAUGUGUUGAAAAUCAAAUCCUUGUCACCAUUGUUGCCAAUUUUGUAUAAAACUGCCAUAUAUAGUGGUAUUCUAGAAGAUACUGGCAGUCUUUCUUGGAUGGUUGAGUUGUCACAAUAUUCUCCAUAUUUUACACAUGCUAGAAUCUUAAAUAUCAACUUUGAAGUGAUUCCAUACUCCAUCUUCUAUUUAGUAGUCUCACUUCACUUAUCUCUUUACUGGGCCUCUCUUGGAUUUAAGCUUUGUAGAUAAUUUAUGGGCUCAUUUAUAUUUAAUCCACUAAUAUUCAUUAGAUCUGUGACUUUUGGCUUCAUACUUGACUUUUCUCUUUUUACUCUUUUUAUAUCAUUUUGUAGGUUUUUUCUUAGAUUUAUUCUUUUCUAGGUUCUUUCCUACAAAAAUACAAAAACAAUAUAUAUUACUCUAAUUCAAGUCCAAAAGUGAGUUCUAACAUCAUACUAAUCAGGGGUAAAAACUACAUUUUUGGAUACUUAUCAAUGACGAGAGUUACUAUUUCAAGUUCAACAUCGAAGAAGACAAACAAUCUGUACUGGAUUUGGGCUCUUUUCACAUGACAGGUAAAAUCUGUGAUAAACCCAUGGGAUAAAGAAGCAGAGGAGAAUAAAGGUUCCAUUAGAACUAUACCUGUUUGGAUCAAGCUAUCUAAUGUUCCAAAGCACAUGUGGCACACUAAAGGGCUGAGCUUGUUAGCUAGUGCAGUGGGGAAACCGCUUUGUAUGGACAAAGCCACGAAAACAAGGAAGAUGCUGACUUUUGCAAGAAUUUGUGUGGAUGUAGAAGCAAUAAAGGAAUUACCAGUUUCGAUCCCUAUUGAAAUUAACACAGGAAAGGUGAUUACUGUUGAAGUGGAGUAUGAUUGGAAACCUUUGUUAUCCACAAAAUGUCAAGUGUUUGGACACAAUACAACCAAAUGUGUUCCAACUAUCUCAUAUAAGAAGAAAGCGUAUGUAGGAGCAGGGAAAUGAGGGUUGGAUCAAUAGUAAAACUGUUUGGAGAUGGCAUAGGGAGGAAGUUCCGAUCACAAACAUGGAAAAAACUAAACAUCAAGGGGCAGGUACAAGUGGAGUUAAAAAGGUUAUUUCUAUGAAGAAGGGGUUUGUAGAUAAACCACAAAUGAAGAACAAGUUUAAAGUCCUUGAUGAGAUAGUAGAUGGUGAAGAGGUUAAUGUAGUAGGGGGUGAAACAGGAUGUGAUAAACAAGAAGAAGAAGUUCAAAAUUCUGAAGUGGGCGAUUCUAAGGAAGAUGGAGAAAUUACACCAAAUAGUGUUGAGGAAAUGGAUACCCAAUUUGAAGCUAUAGAAGAAGGAGUGGAGAAGGAGCUGAAUAGAAAGAUUGAAGCCAUUGUUAAAGACAACAAA
rnacentral:lncRNA from 1 species